CUAGGGAAGAGCAGUGCAUAGCUGCAGCACAAUGAAGUGAGCAGCUGUAGGCAUGGUGCCUUUCAAAGGGACAUGCCUCCUGGACUUUCUGCAUGAACAGCCUCUGUGUACCUGCUGCAGUUCCCUUCCCUUACUUCAGGCUAUGGCUGAUGUGUAUAAUUUAUCUCUAAAUGACAACAUCUUACACUGAUCUCAGCAGGACUGCUUGGAUGAGGAAGGGCUGCUGGACCUGGUGCUAUUAGAAACACUAGGAAAUUACAACCUAUUCAGUUCAGCUUCAGAGGACCCUCUGAUACAGCUUUCACCAUGCACUGGGGAGAAGAACGAUCAAACAUCCAGAGCAGCCAGAAAAUAUGAAAAAACAGAGCAGGAGGGAAGCUGGCACUGGGCAAUACUUUUUCUCCAAGUGUUUCCAGACUUGUGGGCAGUAUUCUAGCCUGCAAGGUGCUGCUUGGAGCUGCUGGGAGCAAGAUGCAGGGGGCACCACGUGCCUGUGCACAGCUGCACGCAUGUACAUGACUCAGAACACAGCUGGGAAGUGUGGAUAGCAGUUCUCUGCAGAGUGCUUAAACUUCUGGAUCCCUGUCCCUGACCAGGAAUGCUAGAUGCUACCACAAUAAAAAUAAUGUAUAAUAAUGAAAAGGAGUGUUUAUAUUACAAACUCUUCUACUUUUACAUACAGACAAACCCUCUGUCAAGAAAUGUUGGCUUACAGGAAUGAUCAAAUGAAUUACUACUUAUCAUGUUAACUUUUAAUCAUGAGCAAAGUAACAUAACCUGACAAUCUGACAAAACUGUUUUAGGCUAAGCAAAUUACUUUCUUUUCCAGUGUAAUAUUGUUUUAUUAAUCAGAUACUGAAAAAAUAAGUCAUUAGAAUGUACUGUUGCUGCUGAGCAAUAAAGAGCGGAUAUUGUGAAUUGUAGCAUGUAAGGGAGGAAACACUGUUAUACGGUAGGUGUGGCAAGAAAACUGGGGUGGGUACAAAGAAAGGGCAACAGUUGGCAAAGUCAGAGUAGCUGUGAAAUAACUGCUGCCGAGUGGAAUUGUACACUGUGUAAGUACCUGGCAGGCUACAGUUGCUGACUAUCAUGUUUUCAUGAUCUUCUCUUUGUUACUCCCUUCAUCUAUUUGUUGUAUCUUGGAUUGUAAGUGUGUGGGACAGGAGUUGUCUUUUUGCUUAUGUAUUUGUGUGUGCACUAUGCCUGGGACAGUGUAGCACUGAUCCCUGACUGGGGCUUCUGCAUGUUGCUGAGAUGCACAUAAAUGAUGAGAAUAAUUUAAUAUGAGAAUCAGUAGGCUGUCAUAGAAAGGAUCAGAGAAGUAGAGAUAUAAGUGAUGACACAAAAGGAAAAAAAUGAGUCUCACCUGCUACAGUUGAGAUCAAGUAGCAGCUGUUGAGCAGACACUGCAUGUCAAGGGUGCCCUUUAGUGUAGGUGUGUGUAUGUUUGUUUUUUAAUUAAAUGGCAGGGAGGUUUUUGUUUUGAUUAAUGAAUAGACCUUGUUACACCUGUGACCUGAUUCAGUGUCUAUCCAGUAUUGGGAAAGAUUCUAGUUGAUGUCAGGAAGAGUUAAAUCACCUGCCACUGAAAGGCAAUCAUCUGGUCCUUACAAGCCAUCGGUCUGGUAGCCCUGUCAUUGUGGUAAUAUACAGCCUAGUGGAUACUAAAUCAAAAAUGUGUUCAGUUGUAAUA